GACGAACGCUGGCGGCGUGCCUAAUACAUGCAAGUUGAGCGCUGAAGGUUGGUACUUGUACCAACUGGAUGAGCAGCGAACGGGUGAGUAACGCGUGGGGAAUCUGCCUUUGAGCGGGGGACAACAUUUGGAAACGAAUGCUAAUACCGCAUAAAAACUUUAAACACAAGUUUUAAGUUUGAAAGAUGCAAUUGCAUCACUCAAAGAUGAUCCCGCGUUGUAUUAGCUAGUUGGUGAGGUAAAGGCUCACCAAGGCGAUGAUACAUAGCCGACCUGAGAGGGUGAUCGGCCACAUUGGGACUGAGACACGGCCCAAACGCCUACGGGAGGCAGCAGAAGGGAAUCUUCGGCAAUGGACGAAAGUCUGACCGAGCAACGCCGCGUGAGUGAAGAAGGUUGUCGGAUCGUAAAACUCUGUUGGUAGAGAAGAACGUUGGUGAGAGUGGAAAGCUCAUCAAGUGACGGUAACUACCCAGAAAGGGACGGCUAACUACGUG
rnacentral:rRNA from 1 species